rnacentral:rRNA from 1 species
ACGCUGGCGGCAGGCCUAACACAUGCAAGUCGAGCGGUAGAGAGAAGCUUGCUUCUCUUGAGAGCGGCGGACGGGUGAGUAAUGCCUAGGAAUCUGCCUGGUAGUGGGGGAUAACGUCCGGAAACGGACGCUAAUACCGCAUACGUCCUACGGGAGAAAGCAGGGGACCUUCGGGCCUUGCGCUAUCAGAUGAGCCUAGGUCGGAUUAGCUAGUUGGUGGGGUAAUGGCUCACCAAGGCGACGAUCCGUAACUGGUCUGAGAGGAUGAUCAGUCACACUGGAACUGAGACACGGUCCAGACUCCUACGGGAGGCAGCAGUGGGGAAUAUUGGACAAUGGGCGAAAGCCUGAUCCAGCCAUGCCGCGUGUGUGAAGAAGGUCUUCGGAUUGUAAAGCACUUUAAGUUGGGAGGAAGGGCAGUAAAUUAAUACUUUGCUGUUUUGACGUUACCGACGGAAUAAGCACCGGCUAACUCUGUGCCAGCAGCCGCGGUAAUACAGAGGGUGCAAGCGUUAAUCGGAAUUACUGGGCGUAAAGCGCGCGUAGGUGGUUCGUUAAGUUGGAUGUGAAAUCCCCGGGCUCAACCUGGGAACUGCAUUCAAAACUGACGAGCUAGAGUAUGGUAGAGGGGUGGUGGAACUUCCUGUGUAGCGGUGAAAUGCGUAGAUAUAGGAAGGAACACCAGUGGCGAAGGCGACCACCUGGACUGAUACUGACACUGAGGUGCGAAAGCGUGGGGAGCAAAC